GACGAACGCUGGCGGCGCGCUUAAUACAUGCAAGUCGAGCGAGAACCAUGGCUUCGGCUAUGGGGACAGCGGCGAACGGGUGAGUAACACGUGGGUAAUCAACCCCCAACACCGGGAUAGCCCAGGGAAACUUGGAUUAAUACCGGAUACCCCAUCCGGCUCUCGAGCCGGCUGGAAAAGGGUAGCUUCGGCCUCCGGUUGGGGACGAGCCCGCGGCGGAUUAGCUUGUUGGUGAGGUAAAAGCUCACCAAGGCGACGAUCCGUAGCUGGUCUGAGAGGACGAUCAGCCACACUGGGACUGAGACACGGCCCAG
rnacentral:rRNA from 1 species